AUGCUGGUUAAACCGCCGUAUUGGUGGAGAGCUCAGUCUCCCAAUCUGCAUCAGUCAAGACGGAGGUCCUUGCCUUCCUAUUCCCCUCCAUCAGGCAGUAUUUUUGUGAAGCAUCAUCGUCGAACCUGCCAUCGCUGCCUGGAGCGGGGACAUCACAAGAUUGAUUGUCGUGACCCCUACAAAUGUCUGAUUUGUCGAAAGAGUGGGCAUCGUGCACGCCAGUGCGCAAAAAAAUCACCGCCGCCAGUGCAAGACCGCCUCCCACCGCCGCCAAUGAUUCCGCCGUCCACACUGGCAGAAGCUGAGGGGAGGAUUCUGUGCCGCCCACAUAGUGGCCAUGACGAUCCGGUCUGCUGGGUUGAUGUCUGUGGCAGGGACGACGGGCGCGAUGGCCACCAACACUCCAGCGCUCCCGCUAGGCGUGACAACGAUCGAGGCCAAGGCUCUCGCUACGGUCGGUGCCGAGAUGACUACGACGACAAGGGUGACAUGCGUCGUGGCCUGGAGCUCCCAAUCCUCGAUGCCCGGCGAAUCGACAGAGGCUGUGUUCAACGACUUCCCGAUGGUGCUUUUAUCCCGGCUAUGGGCAGGAGGUCCCGAAACCGCCCAGCAGACAGGCCGGCGAGGUGCGUGCGCCGAAGAAACAGGACUACCAGCCCGCACAACUUUGAGAAUCGUGGUCGAUCGCCGCUGCCUUCUCCCCGCACUACUCACCAAGACAUCAUCGAGCUGAGACCUUCCCCGACUGGCUGA
rnacentral:rRNA from 1 species